rnacentral:rRNA from 1 species
CCCGCUGAACUUAAGCAUAUCAAUAAGCGGAGGAAAAGAAACCAACAGGGAUUGCCUCAGUAACGGCGAGUGAAGCGGCAAGAGCUCAAAUUUGAAAUCUGGCUCCGUUCGGGGGUCCGAGUUGUAAUUUGGAGAGGAUGCUUCGGGACUGGCCCCCGUCUAAGUGCCCUGGAACGGGCCGUCAUAGAGGGUGAGAAUCCCGUCUGGGAUGGGUGGCCUGGCCCGUGUGAAGCUCCUUCGACGAGUCGAGUUGUUUGGGAAUGCAGCUCUAAAUGGGUGGUAAAUUUCAUCUAAAGCUAAAUAUUGGCGAGAGACCGAUAGCGAACAAGUACCGUGAGGGAAAGAUGAAAAGCACUUUGGAAAGAGAGUGAAACAGUACGUGAAAUUGUUGAAAGGGAAACGCUUGAAGUCAGUCGCGUCGUCCGAGACUCAGCCUCGCCUCGGCUUGGCGUACUUCUCGGCCCGACGGGUCAGCAUCGAUUUCGCCUCUCGGAUAAUGGCGAGGGAAAAGUGACACCUUUACGGUGUGUUAUAGUCUCUCGUCGCAUGCGAGGGUCGGGAUUGAGGAACUCAGCACGCGCCCUCGGGCGUCGGGGCUUUCGCCCACGAUACGUGCUUAGGAUGUUGGCGUAAUGGCUUUAAACGACCCGUCUUGAAACACGG